UACGAAGGGGGCUAGCGUUGUUCGGAAUUACUGGGCGUAAAGGGCGCGUAGGCGGUCUUGUAAGUCAGAUGUGAAAGCCCCGGGCUCAACCCGGGAAUAGCAUUUGAUACUGCGAGGCUUGAGUCCGGGAGAGGAUGGCGGAAUUCCCAGUGUAGAGGUGAAAUUCGUAGAUAUUGGGAAGAACACCGGUGGCGAAGGCGGCCAUCUGGACCGGUACUGACGCUGAGGCGCGAAAGCGUGGGGAGCAAACAGG
rnacentral:rRNA from 2 species